AUUGAACGCUGGCGGCAGGCCUAACACAUGCAAGUCGAACGGUAACAGGAAGCAGCUUGCUGCUUCGCUGACGAGUGGCGGACGGGUGAGUAAUGUCUGGGAAACUGCCUGAUGGAGGGGGAUAACUACUGGAAACGUUAGCUAAUACCGCAUAACGUCGCAAGACCAAAGAGGGGGACCUUAGGGCCUCUUGCCAUCGGAUGUGCCCAGAUGGGAUUAGCUAGUAGGUGGGGUAACGGCUCACCUAGGCGACGAUCCCUAGCUGGUCUGAGAGGAUGACCAGCCACACUGGAACUGAGACACGGUCCAGACUCCUACGGGAGGCAGCAGUGGGGAAUAUUGCACAAUGGGCGCAAGCCUGAUGCAGCCAUGCCGCGUGUAUGAAGAAGGCCUUCGGGUUGUAAAGUACUUUCAGCGGGGAGGAAGGGAGUAAAGUUAAUACCUUUGCUCAUUGACGUUACCCGCAGAAGAAGCACCGGCUAACUCCGUG
rnacentral:rRNA from 1 species